GCGAGUGAAGCGGCAACAGCUCAAAUUUGAAAGCUGGCUCCGGCCCGCAUUGUAAUUUGCAGAGGAUGCUUUUGGUGAGGUGCCUUCCGAGUUCCCUGGAACGGGACGCCAUAGAGGGUGAGAGCCCCGUAUGGAUGGACACCAAACCUGUGUAAAGCUCCUUCAACGAGUCGAGUAGUUUGGGAAUGCUGCUCAAAAUGGGAGGUAAAUCUCUUCUAAAGCUAAAUACCGGCCAGAGACCGAUAGCGCACAAGUAGAGUGAUCGAAAGAUGAAAAGCACCUUGAAAAGGGGGUUAAACAGUACGUGAAAUUGUUAAAAGGGAAGCGCUUGUGACCAGACUUGCGCCGGGCAGCUCAUCAGGGGUUCUCCCCUGUGCACUCUGCCCGGCUCAGGCCAGCAUCGGUUCUCGUGGGAGGAUAAGAACAGUAGGAAUGUGGCCCCCUCUCGGGGGGGUGUUAUAGCCUAUUGUACGAUACUCUCGUGGGGACCGAGGUUCGCGCUCCGCAAGGAUGCUGG
rnacentral:rRNA from 1 species